rnacentral:rRNA from 1 species
CCUACGGGAGGCAGCAGUGAGGAAUAUUGGUCAAUGGGCGCGAGCCUGAACCAGCCAAGUAGCGUGAAGGAUGACUGCCCUACGGGUUGUAAACUUCUUUUAUAAAGGAAUAAAGUGAGGUACGUGUGCCUUUUUGUAUGUACUUUAUGAAUAAGGAACGGCUAACUUCGUGCCAGCAGCCGGGGUAAUACGGAGGAUUCGGGCGUUAUCCGGAUUUAUUGGGUUUAAAGGGAGCGUAGAUGGGUUGUUAAGUCAGUUGUGAAAGUUUGGGGCUCAACCGUAGAAUUGCAGUUGAUACUGGCAGCCUUGAGUACAGUUGAGGUAGGCGGAAUGCGUGGUGUAGCGGUGAAAUGCUUAGAUAUCACGAAGAACUCCGAUUGCGAAGGCAGCCUACUAAACUGCCACUGACAUUGAUGCUCGAAAGUGUGGGUAUCAAACAGGAUUAGAUACCCUUGUAGUC